GGGUGGUUGGCAUACCGGCUGUGCAGCGGGCUUUUAACCCGCAGAAAUAGGUUCGACCUCUAUACCACCCA
rnacentral:tRNA from 1 species